rnacentral:rRNA from 1 species
AGAGUUUGAUCCUGGCUCAGGAUGAACGCCGGCGGUGUGCCUAAUACAUGCAAGUCGUACGCACUGGCCCAACUGAUUGAUGGUGCUUGCACCUGAUUGACGAUGGAUCACCAGUGAGUGGCGGACGGGUGAGUAACACGUAGGUAACCUGCCCCGGAGCGGGGGAUAACAUUUGGAAACAGAUGCUAAUACCGCAUAACAACAAAAGCCACAUGGCUUUUGUUUGAAAGAUGGCCUUGGCUAUCACUCUGAGAUGGACCUGCGGUGCAUUAGCUAGUUGGUAAGGUAACGGCUUACCAAGGCGAUGAUGCAUAGCCGAGUUGAGAGACUGAUCGGCCACAAUGGAACUGAGACACGGUCCAUACUCCUACGGGAGGCAGCAGUAGGGAAUCUUCCACAAUGGGCGCAAGCCUGAUGGAGCAACACCGCGUGAGUGAAGAAGGGUUUCGGCUCGUAAAGCUCUGUUGUUGGAGAAGAACGUGCGUGAGAGUAACUGCUCACGCAGUGACGGUAUCCAACCAGAAAGUCACGGCUAACUACGUGCCAGCAGCCGCGGUAAUACGUAGGUGGCAAGCGUUAUCCGGAUUUAUUGGGCGUAAAGCGAGCGCAGGCGGUUGCUUAGGUCUGAUGUGAAAGCCUUCGGCUUAACCGAAGAAGUGCAUCGGAAACCGGGCGACUUGAGUGCAGAAGAGGACAGUGGAACUCCAUGUGUAGCGGUGGAAUGCGUAGAUAUAUGGAAGAACACCAGUGGCGAAGGCGGCUGUCUGGUCUGCAACUGACGCUGAGGCUCGAAAGCAUGGGUAGCGAACAGGAUUAGAUACCCUGGUAGUCCAUACCGUAAACGAUGAGUGCUAGGUGUUGGAGGGUUUCCGCCCUUCAGUGCCGGAGCUAACGCAUUAAGCACUCCGCCUGGGGAGUACGACCGCAAGGUUGAAACUCAAAGGAAUUGACGGGGGCCCGCACAAGCGGUGGAGCAUGUGGUUUAAUUCGAAGCUACGCGAAGAACCUUACCAGGUCUUGACAUCUUGCGCUAACCUUAGAGAUAAGGCGUUCCCUUCGGGGACGCAAUGACAGGUGGUGCAUGGUCGUCGUCAGCUCGUGUCGUGAGAUGUUGGGUUAAGUCCCGCAACGAGCGCAACCCUUGUUACUAGUUGCCAGCAUUAAGUUGGGCACUCUAGUGAGACUGUCGGUGACAAACCGGAGGAAGGUGGGGACGACGUCAGAUCAUCAUGCCCCUUAUGACCUGGGCUACACACGUGCUACAAUGGACGGUACAACGAGUCGCAAGCUCGCGAGAGUAAGCUAAUCUCUUAAAGCCGUUCUCAGUUCGGACUGUAGGCUGCAACUCGCCUACACGAAGUCGGAAUCGCUAGUAAUCGCGGAUCAGCAUGCCGCGGUGAAUACGUUCCCGGGCCUUGCACACACCGCCCGUCA